rnacentral:tRNA from 1 species
AGCUCAGUUGGUAGAGUGCUUGCCUUGCAUGCAGAAGGCCUUGGGUUCAAUCCCAA